CGGGAUGUGGCGCAGUCUGGCUAGCGCGCACCCUUGGGGUGGGUGAGGUCGCAAGUUCGAAUCUUGUCAUCCCGACCA
rnacentral:tRNA from 1 species